rnacentral:rRNA from 1 species
AACAGGAUUAGAUACCUGGUAGUCACGCCGUAAACGAUGUCGACUUGGAGGUUGUUCCUUGAGGAGUGGCUUCCGGAGCUAACGCGUUAAGUCGACCGCCUGGGGAGUACGGCCGCAGGGUUAAAACUCAAAUGAAUUGACGGGGGCCCGCACAAGCGGUGGAGCAUGUGGUUUAAUUCGAUGCAACGCGAAGAACCUUACCUACUCUUGACAUCCACGGAAUUUGGCAGAGAUGCCUUAGUGCCUUCGGGAACCGUGAGACAGGUGCUGCAUGGCUGUCGUCAGCUCGUGUUGUGAAAUGUUGGGUUAAGUCCCGCAACGAGCGCAACCCUUAUCCUUUGUUGCCAGCGAUUCGGUCGGGAACUCAAAGGAGACUGCCGGUGAUAAACCGGAGGAAGGUGGGGAUGACGUCAAGUCAUCAUGGCCCUUACGAGUAGGGCUACACACGUGCUACAAUGGCGCAUACAAAGAGAAGCGACCUCGCGAGAGCAAGCGGACCUCAUAAAGUGCGUCGUAGUCCGGAUCGGAGUCUGCAACUCGACUCCGUGAAGUCGGAAUCGCUAGUAAUCGUGGAUCAGAAUGCCACGGUGAAUACGUUCCCGGGCCUUGUACACACCGCCCGUCACACCAUGGGAGUGGGUUGCAAAAGAAGUAGGUAGCUUAACCUUCGGGAGGGCGCUUACCACUUUGUGAUUCAUGACUGGGGUGAAGUCGUAACAAGGUAACCGUAGGGGAACCUGCGGCUGGAUCACCUCCUU